UACGUAGGUGGCAAGCGUUGUCCGGAAUUAUUGGGCGUAAAGCGCGCGCAGGCGGCUUCUUAAGUCUGAUGUGAAAUCUCGGGGCUCAACCCGAGCGGCCAUUGGAAACUGGGAGCUUGAGUACAGAAGAGGAGAGUGGAAUUCCACGUGUAGCGGUGAAAUGCGUAGAUAUGUGGAGGAACACCAGUGGCGAAGGCGACUCUCUGGUCUGUAACUGACGCUGAGGCGCGAAAGCGUGGGAGCAAACAGG
rnacentral:rRNA from 1 species